rnacentral:rRNA from 1 species
CAGUCGCCGCGGGAAUACAGAGGGUGCGAGCGUUAAUCGGAUUUACUGGGCGUAAAGCGUGCGUAGGCGGCUUUUUAAGUCGGAUGUGAAAUCCCUGAGCUUAACUUAGGAAUUGCAUUCGAUACUGGGAAGCUAGAGUAUGGGAGAGGAUGGUAGAAUUCCAGGUGUAGCGGUGAAAUGCGUAGAGAUCUGGAGGAAUACCGAUGGCGAAGGCAGCCAUCUGGCCUAAUACUGACGCUGAGGUACGAAAGCAUGGGGAGCAAACAGGAUUAGAUACCCGCGUAGUCCCUGUCUCUUAUAA